rnacentral:rRNA from 1 species
GAUGAACGCUGGCGGCAGGCUUAAUACAUGCAAGUCGAACGGUAACAUGUCGGAGCAAUCUGAUGAUGACGAGUGGCGCACGGGUGCGUAACGCGUAUGCAACCUACCCAUAACCGGAACAUAACGUUGAGAAAUCGGCGCUAAUAUUCCAUGUGUAUAUUUUGUGGCAUCAUAGGAUAUAUAAAGAUUAAUUGGUUAUGGAUGGGCAUGCGUAUCAUUAGCUAGUUGGUAGGGUAACGGCCUACCAAGGCUGCGAUGAUUAGGGGUUCUGAGAGGAUAACCCCCCACACUGGAACUGAGACACGGUCCAGACUCCUACGGGAGGCAGCAGUAGGGAAUAUUGGGCAAUGGAGGCAACUCUGACCCAGCCAUGCCGCGUGAAGGAAGACGGUCCUAUGGAUUGUAAACUUCUUUUAUCAUAGAGUAACCGCAGGGACGUGUCCCUGCCUGCAAGUAUAUGAUGAAUAAGCAUC